UACAGAGGGGCAAGCGUUGUUCGGAAUUACUGGCGUAAAGGGCGCGUAGCGGCCGCCUAAGUCAGACGUGAAAUCCCUACGGGCUCCAACCGGGGAACUGCGUCUGAUACUGGGUGGCUUGAAUUCGGGAGAGGGAGUGCGGAAUUCCGAACGGUGUAGCGGUGAAAUGCGUAGAUAUCGGAGGAACACCGGUGGCGAAGGCGGCAGUCCUGGACCGAGGAUUGACGCUG
rnacentral:rRNA from 1 species